rnacentral:lncRNA from 1 species
AUGCUGAAGGUGAGUUUUUGGUCCCAGCUGUGCUCGUGUGAUUGUAUUUGGCAGGGUCCCCCAGGUCCCCCCGGCCCUCCCGGCCCCCCUGGACCCCAGGGUGUUAAUGGGAUCCAAGGCCCUCAGGACUAUGUUGGACCGCGGCAGCCACUUCAGGAUUCCACAGACAUAGAUGAGGGAUGUGAAGGGGGCUGCUCCAAGGGGUUGCCAGGGGUACCAGGCAUGGCUGGGGCCAAGGGUGAGAAAGGAGACCAAGGCAAGCCUGGUGCAACCCUUUUGGACAGCUGUGACAGGUGUUUAGAGAGGCUGCAAAAGGAACCAGCCACGCAAGCAGUGGGAGAUCGGUCCUACACAGGAACACCUGGACAUCCGGGGGUGCCCGGAUCACCUGGAAUCAAAGGCGAUCCUGGUGCACCAGGAGAAAGAGGUCCAGCUGGAACUCCAGGAUUCAUGGGUCCUCCUGGUUUCCCGGGUCCUCAGGGUCCAUCCGGACCAGCUGUGAGUUGUAACUCAUUUCUUUCAAACACUGAUUUUCACAUGACCGGAUGUUUAAACCACACGUUGUGA